rnacentral:misc_RNA from 1 species
AUGGCGGGGUUCAACAGCCGCGUCGAAGAGUUGACGAGUUAUUUCAAGUCUCAUAAUAAAAUAAAAGAGCAACAAAGUCAUUCUGCAAAAGUGCAUAGCGUGGGCUGGAGUUGUGAUGGAAAAUUAUUAGCUUCUGGUUCAUUUGACAAGUGUGUCUGUAUAUUUUCUCUGGGAACCGACCGUUUGAAACCUGAAACCACUUUUCGCGGGCAUGGUGGGAGUGUCGAUCAGCUAUGCUGGCAUUCUUUUCACCCGGAGCUGUUAUCAACCGCAAGUGGAGACAAAACUGUACGCAUAUGGGAUACAAGGUCCCAAAAAUGUACAGCAAACAUUGCAACAAGAGGAGAAAAUAUAAAUAUAUCUUGGUCGCCGGACGGCAAUACGAUAGCAGUAGGCAACAAGGAGGAUUUGGUUACAUUCAUCGAUGCCAGAGUCAUGAAAAUCCGAGCUGAAGAACAAUUCAAUUUCGAAGUCAAUGAAAUUUCAUGGAACAAAGAUUCAGACACAUUUUACCUAACCAAUGGCCAAGGUUGUGUGCAUAUACUGAGCUAUCCAGACUUAGAGUUACUGCAUGUGAUCAAGGCUCAUCCAGGAACAUGUAUUUGCAUUGAAUUUGACCCCACUGGUCGUUAUUUUGCAACUGGAUCAGCAGAUGCUCUGGUUUCAUUAUGGGAUGCUGAUGAAUUAUGUUGCUUAAGGACGUUCUCGCGUUUAGAAUGGCCUGUCAGGACAAUAUCUUUCUCUCAUGAUGGACAAUUGCUAGCUGCAGCUUCCGAAGAUUUAGUCAUAGAUAUAGGAGAGGUACAAACAGGAGAAAAAGUUGCAGAUAUACCAGUUGAAGCUGCCACAUUCACAGUUGCGUGGCAUCCGAAACAAUAUUUGUUGGCGUAUGCUUGUGACGACAAAGAUACUUAUGAUAGAAAGCGGGAUGCUGGGAGCUUGAAGGUCUUUGGAUUUUCAAGUGAAUAAAGUGUGUGACCCCAGGAAAUAUUAUUGACUUAAGUAUUUCAUAUCUAACUGUAUAUUGUGAGGCUUAUGAUAAUAUAAAAAGAAAUUUUGAUAUAAAACAAUCCAAAAUUCAAUAAAUCCUGGCGCCUGAUUAUAGGCAAUGUAGGCUACUUACUUCAAAAGCGAGUUGCACUUUCAACCGUUCUAUCGAAACAACCGCCAUUUUGCGUAUCGAUCGCGGGAUACCCGUUUGUUUGCAGCCAACUUCAGUAGUGUGAAAAAUUUCUUGACUUUGUAAAGUGAGGUCCGCCGUUAGUCCCCUCGGUGUGUGUCUGUCUCUUAUUAAAAUAAAAUUAAGAAAUAAAUAUAAGAGGUAUUUACUAAUAUUUCGUGAUUGAAAUUGUUUAAAUUAAGUGUAAUUUGUGAUAAACGAUAAGGAACCACUAGACGGUGGUUGCCUGAGGAGUGUUGAACC